CACCGACACUCGGCCCCACGUGCCGAGAUUUUUAAAAGCACCCCCUCGUACUGAAAUCUAACACUUACGCCCCACCACGCGAACCCAAUCUUUUUACCAGUGUAGUGAUAGUGUUACUGAGGCUAAGUGAUUGGCUGUUUCAACGCAAGGAACAAUUUCAGAAAGAUUAUUGGAAGUGAGGUGCUGUUGGCGUUUUGUGGAUAUUCGAGUGGUUGGAUCGCACCGAAGUUUCCUCUUUUUUUUUUUUAAAGGAUAAUAUACUUUAAGAAUGCUAUGUGUUUGACUGGCCAUUUUGUCUUCUUCCUUGAUGGCGUCACAUGGAAUUCAUGAAGUUGGAUUAUUAUAGGAAAUGAAGUAGAUUGAGUUUUUGGACUUCUUUUUCAUGUUUUUCAUUUAUUUCAUGUUUUUCAUUUAUUAAUUAUCAUGCACAUUUGAUUUGGUUAUUAAAAAAUCUGCGGAUGUGUUUUUGUCAUUUCUAAUUCUAGAAGUUGUUGCAGUUAUUGUACUGAGGAAGGAAUAUGUGUUUUGUUAAUGAGCAUAAUGUUUCUUUUCACGUGACCCGGGACCAGGCAGCUCAAUCUGUGCUCUAGAAAGAGUUAGCUACCUGGUGGUUGUGGGUCUUGUAUACCAAAACCAAGACUUCCUCUGGUCUGCCCAAUGGUCUGUUUGGAUUGUUGGGAGCUGUUGAGGAUUUGUCAGACUUAGCAUUGCUUGCCAUUCUGGUUUACAAUAUUUGGAAAUUUUCAAAAGCUUCAUUCCAGGACGUCUCCCAACUGACUGGUGCUUUGGUUGAGAUAAUGUGAUAUGAGCCAGCUAUUACAAUUCUAUCUUCUAUCUGUGGUGUUCCAUUCUCAUCAAACUGUGCUAUGCUAGUGACUGCUAUUACUGAUUGAGUUUUUUUUUUUUUUUUUUUAAAUAUUUUUCAUGUAUUCAUUGAUGAAGCUUCUCUGUUUUUAAGGUAAUUAGAUAGGGAGAAUCGGAACUAGAAUGAAGCAUGUAAUUAUAAUUGCUCUUGAUUGGUUUAGUAUUGCCUUCAAAUCUGGAUUAAAGGCUUUCUUGAAGAUUUGGUAUGAUAAUUGCUCUUGAUUAGUUGAAUUUUGCCUUCAAAUCUAGACUAACUCGCCAUUUAUUUAGGAAGGCUUUGGGAAGGGACUUAUGCAGUUGUACUUGGCCGUUAUCUUAAGGUUUUCUGGAUGGACUUGGAUAUUGCGAUGACAAUGUCAAGUUUUAAAAAGAAACACAAAAAGUACUACUAUGUAGUGCCAUGUACUUAAUUAUUAAAUUUUUAUUGUGUGUGUGUGUUUUUAGACCGAGUUGAAGGAGGUGAACCGGGAAGGUGCAGAAAUUGAUGAUGCUCGAAGCACAAUAACAUGUGUUGAACAGUUCUUCCUAACAACAGAGGCUUAGUUUUUUAGCACAUAUAAACUGUUGCCAUUAAGGUGUAUUGUUUGUUUUCCCCAUAACAAUCAGUGUGGACAUACAGAGUGAUGCUUUUAUGUAAUAGUAAAAUGUUUCCACUCCCUUGCCUGUUAUUUGUUGUUGACAAAUGUGUGUAAACUUGGUUUUGUCCCACCAGUCAAUUCGUUCGAAUUGAGAUGGAGAUCUGCAUUUUGAAUCCAGAAAACAAGACAGAUGCAGUUGGUAAUCGUUUUUUUGAGUUUU